GAGUGCGACCUUGGAGGCGGGGAUCACCCGAUCCCAUUCCGAACUCGGUAGUUAAGCCCGCCAUCGCCGAAGGUACUACACUGUAGUGGUGUGGGAGAAUAGGACGUCGUACUCG
rnacentral:rRNA from 1 species